UGGGGAAUAUUGGACAAUGGGCGAAAGCCUGACGCAGCCAUGCCGCGUGAAUGAUGAAGGUCUUAGGAUUGUAAAAUUCUUUCACCGGGGACGAUAAUGACGGUACCCGGAGAAGAAGCCCCGGCUAACUUCGUGCCAGCAGCCGCGGUAAUACGAAGGGGGCUAGCGUUGCUCGGAAUUACUGGGCGUAAAGGGCGCGUAGGCGGAUCGUUAAGUCAGAGGUGAAAUCCCAGGGCUCAACCCUGGAACUGCCUUUGAUACUGGCGAUCUUGAGUAUGAGAGAGGUAUGUGGAACUCCGAGUGUAGAGGUGAAAUUCGUAGAUAUUCGGAAGAACACCAGUGGCGAAGGCGACAUACUGGCUCAUUACUGACGCUGAGGCGCGAAAGCGUGGGGAGCAAACA
rnacentral:rRNA from 1 species